rnacentral:siRNA from 1 species
AUGUAAUAUCAAGAAGACUGCACU